GAUGAACGCUGGCGGCGUGCCUAAUACAUGCAAGUCGAGCGAACAGACGAGGAGCUUGCUCCUCUGACGUUAGCGGCGGACGGGUGAGUAACACGUGGAUAACCUACCUAUAAGACUGGGAUAACUUCGGGAAACCGGAGCUAAUACCGGAUAAUAUAUUGAACCGCAUGGUUCAAUAGUGAAAGACGGUUUUGCUGUCACUUAUAGAUGGAUCCGCGCCGCAUUAGCUAGUUGGUAAGGUAACGGCUUACCAAGGCAACGAUGCGUAGCCGACCUGAGAGGGUGAUCGGCCACACUGGAACUGAGACACGGUCCAGACUCCUACGGGAGGCAGCAGUAGGGAAUCUUACGCAAUGGGCGAAAGCCUGACGGAGCAACGCCGCGUGAGUGAUGAAGGUCUUCGGAUCGUAAAACUCUGUUAUGAGGGAAGAACAAAUGUGUAAGUAACUAUGCACGUCUUGACGGUACCUAAUCAGAAAGCCACGGCUAACUACGUG
rnacentral:rRNA from 1 species